UACUCACCAUUCAAACUCUUAGUAAGUCAAUAAGAACGGUGAUUCAUCGUGUUCUCGAUGAAUCGUCUAACUUAAAAGGCACAUCAAAUCAAAACUGAAAGAUCUUCAUCGAUUUGAUAAUUUAAGGAUGGAAAACUCUAAAGUGAAUCUCCUUUGUCACCAUUUUACAGAAUAAUAUAUUCAUCGACAAACAUUUAAAACAUUUGAAAAAUAUUACUUUUAAUCGGAAGUCAAUAACUUCGGAAAUUAUUCACUUUUAAAAACGAGUCGCCGCCGCUCGGCAUCGUCGAGUCGCCGCCACCCGCUGCGGAGUGCCUCAUCACUCAGGCCACCUCUGAAAGUUUUGUUGGGGUGAUUGAUCAGACAAGGGGGCUUCUGAAUUACGUGGACAAAUAUUGCUCAAAAGUUGGCUACAAUUCUGAAUUGAAAUAUGUAUGUAUUGCAGGAAGAGAAGAGGAAGCAAAAGGUUUCUGAAAUAAAGGCUGGAAUUGAUGAAGCAGUGUCUCUGUUACCUUGUUAACUUGUCCUUGUGAAAAAUGCCUAAAACUUCGUCAUGUUAUAUUUUUCAUGGACUUCAGAUUCGAAAAAUGGAUCUUUAGUCUAGAAGCUUGUACACAAUAUGUAAAUAUGAAUACCAUAUCUUUGUAUUGAUUUCCCCUUCUCUCUCUCACUUAA